rnacentral:lncRNA from 1 species
AUUUUCUUUAUCAAAGUUUGAUAAAGGAUGUAACAAUGAUCAGAGAAACUUUUCAGACUUUUGUAAUGUAAACCAGUCAUGAAGUGUGCACGCUUAAGAUCAUAUUACCAUACGAGGCAAUUUUUGUAGUGAAACUUUUGUGGAUGCUGACAUGCUGUAACCAUUAUAGAUAAGUGCUUGAAAUGGAGGUGGACAGCAGUUUUCAUUGCCAGCCAUCAAAUUUGGUGUCAGCAAAAAAUGUCUACUGACUCUGUAUAUAAUUUACAAUAAUAACUGACUCUGUAUACAAUUUACCCUCUCCUGCAUGUAACAUGGCGUUUACAGGAGAUUGAACGCAACUUAUAUCAUGUGCAUUCGUGAUAUUGACAAUAAACGAAGUUUGGUAGGCGGGAUAAUAAUCUGGUCUGGUAGAAAAUGGGCGGGAAACUGAC